UCGGGUAUGGUGUAGCGGUAACAUCGUUGACUCUCACUUCCUACUCUCACUUCCUUUACGAGUGAUAUGCUUUCUGCUCACCAGCCCGGUUUCGACUCCCGGUAUCCGAG